rnacentral:lncRNA from 1 species
UGAGCGGAAUGUGUUCAUAGCAAGUAAGAGGGAAUUUCUUGUGAAAUUCUAUGUGGGAAACAAGAAAGAAACGUGAGGGUUUCUAAGGUUUCAAAAAGGGGCUAAGGUUUGGCUUGGGCAAAUCUUAGUGUUGGCCAAGAACGACUUGCGUUCUUCGUCAAAAGUGGGCUGUGAGCGGACUGAUAGUUCAUAGCAAAGUGAGGGUCCUUUGUAUGAUUUUGUUAUUAAUGCAAAGGUUAGGAUUUUACCGUAUAUGUGUGUGUUCUUAAUUAUUGAAUUGCUGCUUGAAAAUCGUAUAAGGUCAAACUUGCUGAAAAUUGGCAAAGUGUUU